rnacentral:rRNA from 1 species
AGCGAACGCUGGCGGCAGGCUUAACACAUGCAAGUCGAGCGCCCCGCAAGGGGAGCGGCAGACGGGAGAGUAACACGUGGGAACAUACCUUUUGGUUCGGAACAACUGAGGGAAACUUCAGCUAAUACCGGAUAAGCCCUUACGGGGAAAGAUUUAUCGCCGAAAGAUUGGCCCGCGUCUGAUUAGCUAGUUGGUGAGGUAACGGCUCACCAAGGCGACGAUCAGUAGCUGGUCUGAGAGGAUGAUCAGCCUCACUGGGACUGAGACACGGCCCAGACUCCUACGGGAGGCAGCAGUGGGGAAUAUUGGACAAUGGGGGCAACCCUGAUCCAGCCAUGCCGCGUGAGUGAUGAAGGCCUUAGGGUUGUAAAGCUCUUUUGCCCGGGAAGAUAAUGACGGUACCGGGAGAAUAAGCCCCGGCUAACUUCGU